rnacentral:misc_RNA from 1 species
CACAUGCUAGCCAAUAUAAUCAUACCCCUAAUGUUCUAUGCAUCUAUGUUGGAUCAUCAAGGGCACAACCAGAAAAAUGCCUAAGAUCAUAAAUUCAGAAAAGACGUACUGGAGGAAUAUUGAAACAAUUAAAAAUCGUUAGGCCACACUUCUAAGAGGUAACUACACAUAUCCAGUAAUACAACAUAGAUCAAAAUAACAACUAUUAAACGCAAUUUUCAAAACAAAAGUCUGUGCAAAUUUUAAUAAUCUUAAUUACACAUUACAACGCCCUUAGGUAAUAAACAAAUAGAAACUCUAACAAAGAUAAAAAUAAAGAUUUUUCUUUAAAUGAAAAAAAAUAACCACAUCAAAAACCACCAGUCAACAAAACCCAGAACUGAGAAUGUCCUAACUGAACCCUGAGCAUACACGUAAAUCAACCAUGUUGCCAACUUUAUCCAUAAAGACUUCAAUCUAUUUGAGAGAACACUAACCAGCAUCAGAAAGUAUACUAUAGAGGCAAACAAUACAAAUGAAAACCACGGCACAUACUUAGAAUGUAUAACUAUAAACAUAAAAGCAUACUCAACUCAACUAAACCUUU